rnacentral:tRNA from 1 species
GCCUCCGUGGCAUUACUGCAUCGGUCUCCUAAACUGGGGAUUGUGGGUUCGAGUCCCUACCGGAGGUG